rnacentral:tRNA from 1 species
AGUGAAGUCAGCUAAUCAAGCUCUUGGGCCCAUACCCCAAAAAUGAAGGCUAAAAUCCUUCCUUUACUA